GACGAACCGUGCGAACGUUAUUCGGAAUCAUUGGGCUUAAAGCGCGUGUAGGCGGGUUCGUGCGUCCGACGCUGAAAUCCCCCGGCUCAACCGGGGAACGGGCGGGGAUACGACGAGCCUGGAGGGGCGUAGGGGGACCUGGAACUUCCGGCGGAGCGGUGAAAUGCGUUGAGAUCGGAAGGAACGCCCGUGGCGAAAGCGAGGUCCUGGACGCCUACUGACGCUGAGACGCGAAAGCCAGGGGAGCGAACAGG
rnacentral:rRNA from 1 species